rnacentral:RNase_P_RNA from 1 species
GGCGCAGGUCGGAUGGUCGUCCGCCAAUAUUUUGGUGGGAGGAAAGUCCGGGCUCCAUAGGGCAGCGUAACGGGUAACGCCCGUCUCCGUCUUCGUUGAGCACGAUAAGUGCUUGGCGAAGACGGAAGGAUCAGAGCCACAGAGACGAGUAACAGCUACAAGAAGCUGGGACGUGAAACGAGGCAAUCUCUACGCGGAGCAAGACCAAAUAGGUCUCGCUAACAAGAAUGGCCCGUUCGAGACAGCGAGACGGGUAGGUUGCAUGAUCCUGAGAGCGAUCUCAGGGCUAGAUAGAUGACCGUCUCUGUCUUCGUUGAGUACUUAUCGUCAGUCUUCGCUGAAUACUUACCGUAUUCAGCUUCGCCUGACUUGUGCUCAACUACGCCGGAUAAAUCCGGCGAAGCCAAGCGCGAAAGCUGCUUGGCGGAGACGGAACAGAACCCGGCUUACAGAUCUGCGCCUUUU